UCCUGUUUAGCUCAGUUGGUAGAGCGCAUCACUUGCAAUGAGGAGGUCAGUCGUUCAAGUCGGCUAAUGGGAA